GAUGAACGCUGGCGGCGUGCCUAAUACAUGCAAGUCGAGCGAACGGACGAUAAGCUUGCUUCUCUGAUGUUAGCGGCGGGCGGGUGAGUAACACGUGGAUAACCUACUUAUAAGUCGGGGAUAACUUUGGAAAACCGGCGCUAAUACCGGAGAAUAUUUUGAACCGCAUGGUUCAAAAGUGAGAGACGGUCUUGCUGUCACUUAUAGAUGGAUCCGCGCUGCAUUAGCUAGUUGGUAAGGUAGCGGCUUACCAAGGCAACGAUGCAUAGCCGACCUGAGAGAGUGAUCGGCGACACUGGAACGGAGCCACGGACCAGACGACUACGGGAGGCAGCAGUAGGGAACGUGCCGCAGCGGGCGAAAGCAUGACGGAGCGACGCCGCGUGAGUGAUGGCGGUCUUGCGAUCGUAAUACUGUGUUAUUAGGGAAGAACAUAUGUGGAAGUAACUGUGCACAGCUUGACGGUACCUAAUCAGAAAGCAACGGCUAACUACGUG
rnacentral:rRNA from 1 species